GAAAGGUGCAAGCGUUGUUCGGAUUUACUGGGCGUAAAGAGAUCGUAGGAGGUUUCUUAAGUCGGGUGUGAAAUCCCAGGGCUCAACCCUGGAACUGCACUCGAUACUGGCAGGCUAGAGUUUGGGAGGGGUAAGCGGAAUUCCGUGUGUAGCAGUGAAAUGCGUAGAUAUACGGAGGAACACCUGAGGCGAAGGCGGCUUACUGGACCAAUACUGACACUGAGGAUCGAAAGCGUGGGUAGCAAACAGGAUUAGAUACCCUGGUAGUCCACGCCCUAAACGAUGUCAACUAGCCGUUGCGGGUAUCGACCCCUGCAGUGGCGCASUAACGCGAUAAGUUGACCGCCUGGGGAGUACGGU
rnacentral:rRNA from 1 species